GGCCAUAAAGCAACAUAUCGUCUUAUGGGGGUUCACAAAAAGGUUCCCAGUUCUUAGAAUUAGAAUUAUAUCGAUCAGAUAAAUUAUUUUAUUCAUCGCCUGCAAGCCAACCAUCUCUAUUUAAAACUGAACCUUUUAUUAGUUCACCAUUUUUCUUCUCGCUAUGAUGCUGACUUAGACUGCUGCCACUUGGUGCUUAGCAGGAGAGGCACAACCCCUGCCACACCGAAGAGAAAGACGAUGGCUUCCAUGAAGAAAUUCGUCAAAGUGACUCCAAUGACCCACAGGUGUGUCAAUCUCUCAAUCUUGAUUUCCUUGUGGGCUGAAAGCUGAGAUGUCAUGUCUUUGUGAGAUGCCAAUGACAUUAUAAUUUGAUGCCUAUAGCAGCUUUUUUAUUUUCAUUGAAAUGAUUUUACACCCUCUGUUAGUAGCAAUUUUCCUUGAUUUUUUAAUGCCACCAAAUUAAAUGCCAUCGUUUCCAGUGUGUGCGUGCUCUAAACAAAUAUAUGAGACACAAAUGCACAUAUGAGUGUUCAUGUCCAAUUGUUAUGACAUGUGCAAUUAUAUUUUGAUCCAAAUUCCUGAACAAGCAUAGGUAUAAAUACUAAUGUCAAUGCAGUUUCGCUCUUCCUAGGACUCCAGCAGCAACGACAUUAUCAAAGGGUCAAGGAGCAGCAAUUUGAUAUGCAUCCGUGACAAUGAAGGUAAAACUUGAAUAUGGCCUCAUGGUCAUGCCUGCAACAUUAUAAGAUUACUUACUCAUAAGCGUAUUUGCUUCAGAGGCUUAUUGUAUUUAUACAGUUUUCUCCACGGCGCGGAAUCGAUGCUGGCGACCCCGCCGUUUCCACACCACCCCGAGGUAUUUCGAUCCUUACCUUGUGCCCCAAGCCCACCGCCUAUUCUCACGUGCAGUAGCCAAAAUUCAUGUGCUUCCCUACUUCAAAUGAAAGGCUCCAUACUACAUAAAUAAACUAAGUCAUGUUCUUUAGAAGUAUAUGCACUCCUGGACUGAAUGUUGAAACUGUGUUGUAUGUCUUCCUUUAACUGCUCUCUGAUCUCAAAUUUCUUUUCAUUGUAGUAACCAUUUGGGACUUGGAUAUGAAGUAUUUUGUCAGGGCAUUUGAAUUUAUUCGGACGUGUUAUGUUAUCGUAUGGUGAACUUAGAUCAACUUAUGCAGACACACAAAAACACAUGCACUUAGACGCAUAUAACUUAGUCAUCACAACAUGAGUUAGGAACAAGUGCAGUGCUGUAAUGUUGAUAUGCAUACAGCGGUCUGCUUGUGUAUCUAAUUUUUUUUGCUGGAUUGUGGUAUUAUGCGGUUUGCCUUUCCUGUUUUUGGACAAUCCUAUUCUAUCAAUUCAUCAGGAAGAUAUAUGCUUUUAUUACCAAGCCCACCGAGCUUUAACUUAGCCCAGCCCAUCUACAGGAGAAGCACAACAGGAAGGGAUAUAGCGCGACAAAUCCUAUUUUACUGUCCCCGUUUCCCGGUUUCCACAUCGCGGCGACUCGAUCCGCUGCUCUCGGGCACGGCGCUCUUGAAUGAGUCAGAUUUAUCGAGGGACAAGACUGGCAAGCGCUCCUCCGUGUCGAUCUUCGACCGAGGUAGGUAAGAUAACCCUUCCCAUCCGUUUCUUUUCUCUUGCUCUCUUCCAAGUUCUGUUACGCUUCUACAGCUAGGUUGUGAGAGCUAGGAAAAGUACAGAGACGUUAAGAACACUAGACGCUCCCAUUCAGUCGACGAUGGAGGUUUUCUUCGUCCUUGCGAUAUCCAACUCCUGUCGCUAAGCAGACCCGCGACACAUCAACUCCUCGCCCCAAACCCCCUCCUCUUGACCAUUUGUGUCUUUAUGUUCUUAUAUUAUGUUAAUAAAACCAUGUACUAAUACUUUCGUUCUGGUAUUGCCAUUGGCAAAAGAAGUUUAAUACACCUGAGCGUUGUUUUGUUCUUGAUCAGAUGUAUGGACGUGCCUAUAGCUAAACAUAAAAAUAGGAUAGACACUAAAUUCCUUAAAGCUGCAGAAAUUGGGAACUACACAGAAGCACACUGGACUAACAGUAUAUUUACUCGAAAGUACAUUUCUACACCCAGGAGCAAAUGCUCCUGGUAUGAAUAGUAAAAUAAAAAAAAAUAAAAAUAUUCAAAAAAAUGCUCCCAUUCAGAAUUUUUUAAAUUAUUUUUGAAUUUAUUUAAUGUUACUGUUCACACCAGGAGCAUUUGCUCCUGGGUGUAGAAACUCCACGUCCUUUAUUUACUAUCAUGUUUUCGUGAAUAGAGUAGUGACAAUAAGAUUUGUACUUGAUGUACAGAGUUUCAAUUCUCACAGUAUAUGAGUUGUAUUUGAUCUUUUAUAUGAUCUCAACUUUACUAUUCCCGGUCAACGUAUGUUUUGCCAGAUUACUAUUAACACAACUUUGUUUCUCCCAGAGCGCUGGUAGCAACCACAUCAUGAAAGGGUUGACGAACGACGAUCCGAUAUGCGUCGCUCACAGCGAAGGUUAAAUUUCAGUGCACUAUCUUGCAGCACGAUCAUUUUGUACUUGCCACCAUUUCUGUGCUAUUUAUGUAACAUCCUAAUUCUCGCUCCCUCUGUCGCUCUAUGAUGGAUGUUUUACUGGAACGCGAUAUUGGAAUGUUUUGUCUGAUUGCUUCUUCAUGUAAUUGUUCUUCUAUUGAUAUUUUAAAGUUUUCCUCUCAUUAAUGAGUGUAGACGGAUCGAUAAAGCAAAUUCUUCGAAUGAACAAGCUAAUCUCAUUUUCCGUUGCAACUAGGAAUUUCUAUGGAUAAUUAUGCUAAUAAAUGAGAACAUGGGUGCAUAUAUGUAGUUUUCAAG
rnacentral:lncRNA from 1 species